AUUGAACGCUGGCGGCAGGCCUAACACAUGCAAGUCGAACGAGUGGCGGACGGGUGAGUAAUGUCUGAGAAACUGCGUGAUGGAGGGGGAUAACUAGUGGAAACGGUAGCUAAUACCGCAUACUAUCAGAUGUGCCCAGAUGGGUAUAGCUAGUUGGUGGGGUAUCGGCUCACCAAGGCGACGAUCCCUAGCUGGUCUGAGAGGAUGACCAGCCACACUGUAACUGAGACACGGUCCAGACGCCUACGGGAGGCAGCAGUGGGGAAUAUUGCACAAUGGGCGCAAGCCUGAUGCAGCCAUGCCGCGUGUAUGAAGAAGGCCUUCGGGUUGUAAAGUACUUUCAGCGGGGAGGCGUUACCCGCAGAAGAAGCACCGGCUAACUCCGUGCCAGCAGCCGCGGUAAUUC
rnacentral:rRNA from 1 species